ensembl:snRNA U6 U6 spliceosomal RNA
AACUGCCUUCUGUACUCAUUUUGGCACUAAAAAUGGAACAAUACAGAAAAGAUUAGCAUAGCCCUUGUGCAAGGAUGACUCACAAAUUCAAGAAGUAUUCCAUAUUUUC